ensembl:lncRNA
AAGGCAUUUCCAUUCUUCUGGGUGUGAUCCAGGUUGGCCUUCCUGGCCUGGCUCAGAGGCCUGUGGAAUUCCAGCGUGGGACUCCACAAACAGGAGGUGGGACAAAGUGGGCCAAGGGUUUCCUUUCAGCUUCUCAUUGCCUCUUCUGAAUAUGUGUCCGCCUUGACAAACACUUGGCAGCAUUUGGCACCGUUGACUGCCUCUUUCUUCCUGGUUCUCGUCUGUACCGGGCAGGCCUGCUCCACCGAGACUGAUCUGUCCUCUGCAUUGGAGGUGAAAAGGAUGUCCAGAAGAGGGGCCAGUGCUCUAUCCACUGCACCACCUAGCUGCCCCCAUCUAUUCGAUUUUCAAGACCACAGACAAGUGCAUCCUUCAACAAGAGGAUGGUCCUAGGACCCAGCCACUGCGCCAUCUUGGAGACGUCUCCAGUUCCCGGGAACUAGUGGUUGCUGGUGGGGUUGCUCCUGCCCUCCAUGAGGAAGUGCCUGUCUGAUACUUCCGAAUAAAAGCUCAUGCCCUCUCA